rnacentral:rRNA from 1 species
GACGAACGCUGGCGGCGUGCUUAACACAUGCAAGUCGAACGGUGAUCUUGAGAGCUUGCUCUUGGGUGAUCAGUGGCGAACGGGUGAGUAACACGUGAGUAACCUGCCCCUGACUCUGGAAUAACUUCGGGAAACCGAAGCUAAUACCGGAUAUGACACAGAGCCGCAUGGUUUCUGUGUGGAAAGUUUUUCGGUGGGAUGGACUCGCGGCCUAUCAGCUUGUUGGUGAGGUAAUGGCUCACCAAGGCGACGACGGGUAGCCGGCCUGAGAGGGCGACCGGCCACACUGGGACUGAGACACGGCCCAGACUCCUACGGGAGGCAGCAGUGGGAAUAUUGCACAAUGGGCGAAAGCCUGAUGCAGCGACGCCGCGUGAGGGAUGAAGGCGCUAUGCGUCGUAAACUUCUUUUCCAGAAGAAGAAAACCCCCGACGUCGUCGGGGCUUGCCGGUACUCUGGGAAUAAGCAUCGGCUAACUCCGUGCCAGCAGCCGCGGUAAU